rnacentral:rRNA from 1 species
UGUUAGUCUCGUUGGUGACCAGCGGAGGGAUCAUUACUGAGUUUACGCUCUACAACCCUUUGUGAACAUACCUAUAACUGUUGCUUCGGCGGGUAGGGUCUCCGUGACCCUCCCGGCCUCCCGCCCCCGGGCGGGUCGGCGCCCGCCGGAGGAUAACCAAACUCUGAUUUAACGACGUUUCUUCUGAGUGGUACAAGCAAAUAAUCAAAACUUUUAACAACGGAUCUCUUGGUUCUGGCAUCGAUGAAGAACGCAGCGAAAUGCGAUAAGUAAUGUGAAUUGCAGAAUUCAGUGAAUCAUCGAAUCUUUGAACGCACAUUGCGCCCGCCAGCAUUCUGGCGGGCAUGCCUGUUCGAGCGUCAUUUCAACCCUCAAGCUCUGCUUGGUGUUGGGGCCCUACAGCUGAUGUAGGCCCUCAAAGGUAGUGGCGGACCCUCCCGGAGCCUCCUUUGCGUAGUAACUUUACGUCUCGCACUGGGAUCCGGAGGGACUCUUGCCGUAAAACCCCCAAUUUUCCAAAGGUUGACCUCGGAUCAGGUAGGAAUACCCGCUGAACUUAAGCAUAUCAA